CCGCUUGUAUAGAGACAACGGUGAGAAUUUUUUUUGUUCCGAAAUAACCGUUCAAAUUUAAGUGUAGCUUUUGUGGUGGAGCAGGAUCUGCAAGGCAAGGUGACGGCGGCAUUUGUGAAAAAAAGGGAAAACCUGCAACAAAAAUAUAAAUAAGAUACUUUUGUUACUUCCAGUACAGAAAUCAGAUGACAUUAUGCUGUUAAAAUUACUGAUUUUGUAUUGUGUUUGUGCAUCUUUGCAGGAUCUGAAAUGUCUGCAGACUGCUGUGAGUAGUGAGGAUGGAGAAGUCCACAGCAGCAUCCUGGAAAUGGUCCAGUGCCAUGGAUGAGAUGCUCCAUCACUCCACCUCUUACUGUCUCAUCUGGACCGGAUGCUGCUGUGGUCUCUUCAUCCUCAGUGACCCCAGAGUCAGCGAGAGCAUCUAGAGAUGACCAAAAGAGGAUGUGAGUUUGGUCAAGUUUGUUCUGCUGGUUUCUGUUCAUACAAUGAAGGCUGACUUUCAGAAGCUUCAAAAGCAUCAUCAAAAAAUGUCAUGAAGCUUUUAUCCAAAGUGAUUUACAGUGCUCUUAUUACAGGGACCUACAAUCCCCUGGAACAACCUGGAUUGCUCAGGGACAUACUGGUGGUUUUGAACCAGCAACUUUCUGCUCACCAGUUCAGUGGUUUAGCCCACUACAAAACUAGUCGUGCUCAUGGAAAGCAGCACACAGAUGUUUGGAGCAGAUACAGUGGCAGCCAGAUUGUCCCACAUGUGUGCCCCUGCUCUUGCUUCUAGGUUGUGUGUUUCAGAGAGCCGUCAUCAUGGUCUUCCUCAUCCUCUUGCUCAACGAUGUCCCCAUUGAGAAGAGCGAGAUUGUGAAGCACAGCGCAGCAGCAGAACUGUCUCAGCUGUGUUGAGAUGGCAGUAGGAUGUGGGAUUCACCAUCUGUAAAUACAUGAUUGUUAAAACAAUAAGUUUGAAUUAAGCUUUGUUUCAUCUGUUGUUGACUUGUAUAUGUAUUUAUUGUGAUGCUUACUUUUAUUCAUUCCUUUACUCAUUUAUUCAUGUUUAUUGUUGUCAGUAAAUAAAAUAUAAAUAUUUUAUUAAUUAAUGUAUUAAUUGCUUGACUGAAAAUUAAUGUAUUCACAUCGACUGCAUUUGUUCAACUAGUGUAUAUUUAUGUAUAGCUAUGUCACGACAAAAAAGUAUAUAUUUUUUCAUUUUAAG